AAGCCAUUCCGCAACCCUAGCAGACUGUGAGCUUGGGACGCCGCGCUUUGGCCCGUACGUGGCGCUGUCCCGCGGGACGGCGGCGCGCGAGAACUAGGAGGAGCCGCAGGAGGAGACUGACGGGUGACGGGCCGAGUUGGUUGGUAGUUGCCAAGCAGGCGCUGAUGAGCGGGCAAACGCACUAGCCGCCCCCGGCCCCCGCGUGCGCCGUCCUUCUGCGAUUAAAAGAGGGAGGCGAGGCGAGGCGGGCGAGGAAAGUGUGGGAGUUCGUCGCUUGCGGGGGCGCGCUGGCUGCGCCGAGCCUAUGAGCCCGGAGAGGCGACUCGCCGGACUCGCCGGAAACUGGCUUCUGACUGGUCGUGGGCCUGGUGUACGUGUACUUGGUGUAUGGGUCUGGGUCUGGGCUGGUGGGCCAGAAUUUUCUACCGGUACACCGCACAGGUGGAGGUGCAUGAUUGUUUUUUUUUUCCCUAAAGAAAGGUGGAGGGUACGGGCAUGAUUUGAAGGGAGUCGCCGAGGAAAGAGGCCAGCGAGGAUACGAAACCGCGGCGCGACUGCACAAGUGGCACAUGAUUUCAUCGAGGAAAGAGGCCCCGCCAUUUUAGGAAACUGAACUGAAAGCGUCAAAGCGUGAACUCACGUUGCAAUAAGAAAUUCAGUUAUAUUGGAUUGGUCAACAAAUUCAUUAUCCAGGACCGAGACACGGAGUACAUCAUACAUUUUGCACGAAGCUAGCUGGAGGAGGACGUCGCCAGUAUGUCCAGAGGACGUCACCAAUAUGUCCAGACCAAAUCUGUCUGAAAUUAGGUGUAAAGACAAACGUUUCCGAGCAUCGAUAUGCUUCAAAUCAAACAGCCACUAGCCCGACAGUUUCAUUUGAUUCAAUUUGACUGCCUGUUCAAGCCGGGGGAAAAGCUGGCACGGUUCUGGUCUUGCGAAUGACAAGAUGGAAGGCGUACCGUGUGGCCACAAUGACUCGCUGCGUCGAGAUCCCCGUAGCUUUCAGGCUUUCACGGGAGGAAAGCAUCCGCCGAGCUCCCGCGGUCUCAUGCUUCUCCUGAUCUCCUCCAAUCUCCACAAAGUCGGCCACGGAAGGAACCGUGUGGCGCAGGCUCUCCGCAACAUCGAUGCCAUUGGAUGAUUGGAAUCAUAAUGCUAAUGCAUAGCCGCCCUAGUUGCUCUAGCUCCGCGCAGCACGAGCGCCACGGCUGCGGCCUGCGGAACGUGACGGCCCUAUCGCCGAGCACGGCCGUUUGAGCAACCGGCGGUGGGGCCGCGCGCUAGAGCAGCAGCCACGGAGCGUGGAUAAGAUAGAGAGGGGCUCCGACCCGACGUUUGCACCUACACCUGAAUCUUCCAGCGUUCCGCACCCGUCAACAUGUGGGCGGGCAUACAGUGACGGUGAUUGGAUUUCGGAAGGAUCAUCGUACCGGCUGAGUGCAGGACCCCAAUCCGGCGAUGCGGAUACCGUGAAUCGCGUGGGUAUAUUCGGAGACGAACAAUUCGUAGCACACAGAAGAAGAAGAAAAAUCAGGGCUACUGUUAAUUGAAGCGAGGACGAGGGAAAGGACAAACGGGUUUGGGAGUUGAUUUGUGAUCAAGGAGAAUCGUUGGUUGGUGAGGGCUGCCGACUGUCCUGUGGAAGUCCAAAAUUUCGUAAAGUUGAGAUGGAUUUCGACGGCUGUACUGAUAAAGUAAUCCAGGACGCCAGCACGCAAACCCCGUAAUCUCAUCUCCAGCAGCGCAACACAGCAUCGUAUCCAAAAGGUUAGCAAGUACGUACUAUUUACGGCAGCAAACGGAGAGCAGCUAUUUGUUGACCAAACGAAUUGCAGACACGCCAUCCUAUGCAAUCAUAACGUGACCAAAGCAGGUCUUCGUAGUUCAGUCAAACACACGUCAUACCAGGAGAAUGUGCAGUCAUAACGUGAUGAAAGCGGGAUACGCCUUUAUUUCCCACGAAGUCAGCAGCUUCAGUCAUACCUUCGGUGAUGCAGCAACACAUUCAUAACAGCAUAUGACGCAACCGCGCUGGAAACUUGGCGCUGCUUUUGCAAUGUUGCUUUCGAACCAGGCUCGUGCAACGACAGAUAGCCCGACGAAUGGGUUCCAGAAUCACGUGGCCGAACGGUGCCAACUGGAAUUCCUGGAACUCGGGGUCCACUGAUCAGCCUUAGUCACCAUUGCAUCAUGUACAGGCAACGCUUCACGUUUGUCUGUGUUAAAGCGUAGCAGUUGUAUCAGCGUAGCGUGACACACCGCUGGGGAAAAACAUAGGAUAAGAAACUGCACGAUACGUGUGGUUAUAAUGGGGUCGUCCACUUUUGCUGGCAUAUGUGAAGGUUACAUGGAAGCUUUCCCAGUCAUCAGGUUCAGGUUCAUGAUCGUAAGAGAACAGAAGAAUUACCCAAACAAUUGGUCCAGCAGAAAAUAUAAAAAGAAAAUUCCAAUUAAAAUACCCAGGGAGUAUCGUGAUUUCAUUCCGAGACAAGUCAACCACCAAAGCUCAUAUAGAAAGCAGUCCAACACAUAAAGAUGGCAUAUGACCUAGUACCUUGUAUAUAUCAUGGAUUGCAGUAUUUGCAGGCAGGUUUGAUUUCAUGGUCAAGCUGUUUGUAGGUCAAUUAUAACUCGUAACAGAUGAGAUCGGAAUAACCACCACAAGCACACCUAGUAACUUUUGAAAUAGGUAGUGCCUACAAGUUAUCUAGGUUGACCUCCAGCAUUGAAAUUCACCCCUCCCCCCCCCCCCCCCCCCCCUCCCAAAAAAAAAGAAGUUGCCUAGGGUUUUGUAGAAAAUAUUAGCAACAUUUGUAUCUCCGAACAAGCUUAUUAUGAAAGUAUAUUCAACAAUUAAUCUAAUGAUACUUAUUAUGUACAAUAAAUAUAAAUAAUCUCUUUAUAUAUUUGGUCAAAAUUUAAAAUGUUAGACUUCUAAAGCUCAGGGAAACCAAAGCUUUCACAGUGGGACUGAGCAAGUAGCUUUUAUGUCAACAAUUUGUCUGCUUAACCAAGUGGUAAACUCAAGCUCAGUGAAAAUCAAGCUUGACCAUGAGACUUAUUGUAAAAUAUAAAGACCAAUCUCAAGCAGUAUUCACCAUACAAAACAGGUUGGGUGCAAUUGUUUUAUUUCUGGAAAAAACCACAAAUUCCAGAGGAAAAGAACACGAACAAACCAAAAGUGCCAUGUCGAAAAUAUAUUUGCCAACUUGCAAAAGAAAUACUCAAAUUCUAAAUGCAUGCAAAAUGAUUACCUGUUGACCAGAGAUCACCGUAUGCCAUCAUUAAAUAUAGUGUUCCAGUCUUCUAUGAAAACACUUAAUCCCAUUUAUCCUCAAAUGACACCACCUGGUUAGAGAUUUCUGCAUGCUACCUGCUAGUACUGAGAGUCUGGCAAAAUUAGUAUGGAUGGGAGAGACAGGAAUUUGUAUCAAUUGGAAAGUGACAUCCAGUUAAAAUGAAUCAAGUGUCAGAGAACUCUGCUUAUAUACAACAAUUACCUUUCAAAUCAUUGAACAGAAUUGCAAGUUAGCAUAUUUCAUUUUUCGUAGAACAUCUCCACUUUUUUUGUAGUUCUUACACAUCAAAACGAAGAAAUACAGCAUUGACAUUUUCAAUGUCAGUAGCCUCAGAAACCACAUCUUCUGAUGCAUCUGGUAAAGAAAGGGUGUCGUAGAGCUUCACGUGCUUUAAGGCGCUCAUUAGGAUCAUACCGAAGAAGUCCUUGAAGAAGAUCAAUAAGAUCUCCAGCAGAAUGAUCAACAUGUUGCAUUACAAGGUUCUGCAUGGAUUGCAAUGAUUAGAACUUUUCGAAAGGCAUGCCCAUCUAUAAGAUGUCAGUUGGCAAAAGCGAUGAUUAGUACAUCGGAGAGGAAAGUACCUGCAGACGAGGCAACUUCCAGACUGCCUUCAUGCUCUCUCGUGAAGCCGCCCCCUCUGGCCAGUCCAACCUUACUCCGCGCUUGAAGUAUUUUUCAGCACGUCGACUGUAAAACAGCAUUAACCAAUGAAUGUGAGUAAUAAGUUAAUAUGAGCAGAAGCCAACACAGAACUGACCACCUACCUCAUCUUGGAUGUACAUGCAACAACAAAAAAUGUCAAAAAGGUAGAUUAAGAUGAUAACAAAGGACUUGUACACAUACUCAGCUCUGACAAUCAUAUGCUUCGGGAGGGGCCCUAAGACCCUCUCCAUCAUAGCCAAAUGCUCCAAAUUUUCAUGUGUCUGAAAGAGAGCUUCGCCCUAAUAUUAUCAUAAAAAAACAAAAAAUGCAAGAGACUUCUCAAGACAAGCACCACAAAGUUGCAAAAGAUAUGGAUAAGGUUAAUCAAGUACUCCAAUACAAAGAGUCUUAGUAAACUAACCGAACAGAGCUCAACUAAAAUGCAACCCACACUCCACAAGUCACAUGGAUAGUUCCACCCAAGACCUAAAAAAGAAUUAGCAAAGAUUAAAAAACAAAUACAAAAAAAAUGGUGUCGUUUAGAAAAUAAACGUAAAUGUCAUUUAGAAAAUAAGCGUAAAUUGGCUACUUUGUGUGUGGGUCAGCAGAUGUUAACUAUACCAAGAAUAACUUCUGGUGCUCGGUAAUGUCUUGUCGACACCACAUAAUUGUGGUCUUGGCUCUCGAAAGUCGUACUCCCAAAAUCAAUCAGCUUGAUAGCACUAGAUUUUGGAAGGUUCUUGAAGAAAGAACCAUCCUUUGGUGGUCGUAUAGAAACCUUCAUUGCAAAUAAAAAUAAAGUUUAGACAAAGAGAUGUAUUUAUGCAGUUGCAAUUCUGCAUAAUCUGUUAAUAAAAUAAGUAGUCAAAUUCCUGUCCACAUAAGAAUCAGGAAUUCCUGCUGUUGCAGUUCUCCAUAAUCCCUUAAUUGUCCUGUCACACAGGUCGUCCCCACAUGACAUUGCCACAUCAAUGGCAAAUAAGGGAUUGCUAAAGAAAAUUGGUAAUGGAUAUAUCAUAUAUGUCCUAAAAAGAACCUUAAUCGGUAAAUACCAUACAGAAGCAGGUAAAAAUUUAGGAGUUCAGUAACAACCUUAUAAUCAGGCACCCUGAUAGACUCUGAUGAAACAAGAAGAAUGUUCUCUGGCUUCAGAUCCGUGUGAAUAAGUCGCAAGUCAUGCAUAACUGUAGAGGUAAAAGAAACAUCAGCUUCAUUUGAAGGGGACUAGAGAAGGAAAACAGAACUAGCAAACCCAGCUUAACAAGAUCAUGCCAAACCAUAGCAGUUUAGUAAUCUAAUUAUAUUGUUUGAAAUUCAGAAAACUUGAUGAUUGCAAUUCUAAUGAUGUUGUUCGAAAUUCAAAAGACUUGAUAAUUGCAUUGAAAUGUAGCCAGACUGCCAGAGUGAACUGAGUACUCACAUGCAACAGACUCUAAUAUUUGUCUGGCAAAUUCUCGGACAAGGUCAAUAGGAAAUGCACGGUAGCUAUUCUUUCGCAGAAAAUCAUAUAGGCUCGGCCCAAGCUUCUCAAAUACCUGAAGAGAUCAUCAAUCCAAUAUCAUAACCUGAUCAUCAAAAACAAGAAAAGUAUAGGCGUAUAGCCUUCUUGACGCAUAUGUACUUACUAUACAUAUAUGAUUACGAUAGUCAAACCAAUUCCGUAUUUGCACACAACUGCAGGCAUAGAACCAUCGAUGCAAAUCCAUCAACUUGCCAAAAGGGUCAAUAAGUGAAACAAGGGAGGUAGAUUUCUUACCGGCUCCCAGUAAAGUCAUUCUUCCCAAGUCUCUGGAGCACAUCAAUUUCUAUCAUAGCAGCCUCUCGGUAUUUCUGGAGGGACCGCACAAUCUUGAUAGCCACUGCUUCUUGGUUUUCCAAGUCCCAGCAUUCCAAAACUUGCCCAAAUGUCCCUGUGACACAAAUUGAAACAAUAAAUAUAACAUGGAACGAAAGCAAUGAAAGUCAGGACUGAGAGCAUAAAAGAUCAUGCCAUCCUUGUCCUGUGCAAUUCAAAUUGAAACUAAGCAUUCCAACUAAGAACAAAGAUCAUUGCAGAAUAGAAUAUAAAUUAUAUAGUAGUCCAGAAGGGGCACACUAACCUUCACCCAUCUUGCUAAGUAUCCUAUCUGCAUGACCAGGAAAUCAGUGUUAGUAAUAAUUAUUACAAAACCAAUUAGGCAUACUCAACAGAACCAAAAUUAUGAAGUAUCAGUUAGGACAGACGCGAGGAUCAAGCAGCAGUCAACACAAUUAUCAGCGAAAUCUGCAUUUGAUGAAUGAUGGAUGUGGAACAUGAAAUGGCAUUGAACCAAUGUUCAUGAAUUUGCAUUCAACCAGUGUUUAAUUUAUGAAGCAUGAAGCUAUUUAUGCAGAGCCACAAUAUAUAGAUGAAAACUCCAUGACUACAACUUUCAGUAACAUAUAACAUUCAAAAGAAAAUACAUCUAGACAAACUAUUCAGAGAUGCGAACCAAAAACGAGCAACCCAAUGCAAGGAGAGUAAAUGAACAUCAUUGAGUUGCAGAAAUAUACAUCUUGGUGUGAGAUUCUCUCCAACCACAAAAACAUAGUGCCCAUCCUUGUCAUCUGGUCUCCAAGGAGGCGAAAGAUUCCGUGGAGGGCCAGUGUAAUAAAUCGGUGGCGGCGGAAGAAAUGCAGUCGUGAAAUUACCAUUAAUUAAUUCCUGCCCACAAUAUAGCAUCGGAAUUGCCUACAAAAACACCAAGCCAUGUAAACUUCUUAUUGACAACAAAUAUGGAUAGGAAGUACCAGUUCAACAGGAAAAAAAAUUGAAGGUUGAUAUUGUAUUUCUUGUACUGAAAUGUUUAGCGGCCAGUUAAAUAACUUGAAAUUAUGUGAGGUGCCAAUCGACAUUGUCCUGUAGCUACUAACCGAAGUACAUAGCUCUUGCAUAUUCCCACAAAAGCGAAAGUUAAUUAUUAGGUAAUAAUAGUUGAGCUCCCCAAAUUUAAUAACUGUCUUAUUUCUAUAGUCCUUACAAUUGAGAAAUUCAUCCUGUAACAAUUACAUAUUCUAGACGAAAAAAAGUUAUAAACUCCAAAGUUAUGUAGAAAGCUCCAAAAGCUAGAACAAGAUAACACCUAGGUCAGAAAACUUCCCCGUCUUUCUCAAAAAUAGCUCGUCAUCAGCGACCUGUUCGCACCAUAUACACCAGUAAUUGGCCAAACCUCUAGAUGAUUCGCAACAGCAAAGCUACAGAUCUCCAAUUCCCCGAGCUCCAACCCCUGAUCGAACCAACCGACUCCAAAUCUAAGCGGAAACCGCGUCCAGAUCUAGACAAAACUACCAUCGCAACCCCACGACUGGCAACCAAUCGAGGCGGCAAGCGGCGCGAGAACCAUACCUUGGGGGGCUGGAACAGCGUGGGCGCGACAUCCCAUGCGAGCCGGGGCCGCUUGCGCGGCCGCUUGUCGGACCCCUGGUGCGGAUACUCGGCGAGCCACUGCGCCUCCAUUGCCGGCUUCGAAACCCUGACUCGUCACUCCAUCGGCGGGGCCAGCCCGGCGGCGAAUUUCGGGGUGGAACUGAUGAGCGAUGCGGCAGGAGCCGCCGAAUCGGAGCUCGAUUUGGGGGAGGGAUUUGUUGGAGGAGGAAACGAAGCGGUUGUAGCAGGAAGGGGGUGGGGGGGAUGGCCGGAUGGGGAAGCUCGAGGUGGUGCUGGUCUGGUUGUGCCCGCGUUCCGUCCGAGGAACCCUGGUUUGGUCUCAGUCCCGCGGGAGAGGCGACGCCAUCUAACUAUGGUUAGUUCAAUUUUAGCUCUGUUAUUACAUAUCACCCCCCUCGGUUUGUGCUGUAUACGGUCUGCUUAUCUGAUGCAACGCGUUUUCCGUGCGGACCGGACCCGGGUAGAAAGUUUUGCGUAUGUUUCGGGACCUUUAUGCAAAAAGGAGCUCAUCCGAAUUCGCGUCAAAUUUCUCCACGGUUGGUGGGAAACGGUUUGAACUUCCAGCCGUACCUCUGCAACUGCUUCGUUGGGCAUGUUUGCGUUUUUCCUCUUUCUUCUUUGUAUAAUAAUAAUAUUUCCCCUCUGCUCUGGCCUUGUUCCAAUUUUUAGCGUUCCUCACAGAUGGAUAUCUUGGAGCAAUGCGCUCGGCUGGAUAACUCGCAUCUAUCAUCACCAGCCUCAUGGAGUCAUGGGGCAGAUGGAUAUUUUAAGCACAUUUUCGUCAGGCCUUUUUCUGGGCAUUGCCUGCUGCCUCGAGGGAAAUUGAAAAGCCACCGUAUUUCGAAUAUGAUCAGCGUUUUCUAUGCCUUUAUUAGACGGUUUGGCCACUUGGGGUGCAGAUAUGAGAUAAUCAGAGCAAGGAUUUUGUUCCUCUGGUUGGUGUUCGGAGCAGAAGGCACCUUCGUCGCUGCAGGUUCGCAAGUUCCGCGGUGGUGGCCUAGUGGUGGUAUUUGGCGGGCCACGGGCGACUUGGCCAACGCCACUUUUGGUCGUCCAUCGUUUGGUGCUGGCCGUCGAGAAAGAGUAAACCAGGCCAUGAUCUUCAGAUCUUCACCGACUUCGACCUACCUUUCUCCCCCAAAUGGAGCACUGAUCCUGUGAGCCAUGCCGAUCGAAAAAGGAGUCCGUGUUGGCGGCAGGCAUCGGAUCGGAUCAGUACAAUCGGUGCUGCCCCACCCUCUGAAAAGAGAAUGGCACGUAUAUGCUGCGGGUACUUGGAAAAAUUAGGACCGGUGUUUGCUGCAUCUGCAUGUGUGUAGACCGGCCGUUCCCCGUAGAGUUUGGCGUUCCCUGAGCAGUGUCUGUACCUCUGCAUAUGACGCGAAGAGUUCGGCCAAAUUCAGGGCAGGCAGCGGAGGCGGGAUGUGGAAACAGAGUACAGCAUGACGCGAGGAGCAGCAUGCCGCGAUUUCGGCAGCUUGGCAUCUGGUAUUCUGAGUCUGAGGUCUAGACGCGAGUCUGAGUGCAAUGUGCACAGCACAUCGAUGCGUCCCGGACCAAUGUUCUCUCCUUUCCUGAAAGGUCGCCUAAUUAGGCCAUCCUGAGCCUGAGAACCUGCUUUCUCGCGAUAAGCAUGUAUUUCUCAUUAAGAAAUAGAAUCUGAGUUGUGUUGCUACAAGCUAAAAAAAGACACACCGAACUUUGCCACCACGGCUAGUUGACAAUCAACAGGUUCGCUUAAGAUUAUCUAUUGAAACUGCUAAGCAUUCAACAAUGUUUUUAUCUCACAAUAAAUUAGCGAACGGUACUUUUAGCCAAGCAAAUAGGCCAACUGAUGCCUCAUGUAGUCAUGCGUGUAACGACAACACGUCAGCACUGCAAUUUAGGAACUAUAAGGAUGCACUAAGGUCUCGUAGACGGUCUCAUGUAAUGUCACAUAAUUUUAAGACAAUUUAAUAAACAAUCAUAUAUGAUGGUUGCCUAUUAAGGACAGCAGCAACGCAGUAGAGAAGAGUAAAUGCUCCACAUAGGUUUGGACAAAUGAAGCUCACAAACUACUCAACGCAGGCUAAAAAUGCAAGAAAUAAUCAACUUACAAACUAUAAGAAAUUGAUAAAUAUUUUAUACAUGAAGUUGCCCAAUUUAAAUCAUCACAAAUCAGCAAUAAUCGCUCUCCAUCUCCCGUAUUGUGCCAAAAAUGAUGUAUUCGACCCGACCUAAGGGCCCCAAACACACUAUCCUAUAAAAAACAAAACUUCUCCCUUCUCUAUCUUGCAGCAAGAUCCAUGCAUGUACCAACUCUCCACGCAAAACAAACGAGUGGUUCACUCAUCCACAACAUGAACAAAGUUAUAAGAGGAAGGACGCAAGCUAGCGUACCAGCUUCUCCCAUGAGUCUAGUGUGGUGACGAGGAGCUAGGGAUGAGCGCUGCUGGACUCACGGGUCGACCCUAGGAUAGUUGUUGAAUUAGAAUAGUGUGUCGGCCUCUAGUCAUCGCCAUCAUCGGGUCAGUGAUUGAACCCCUUGGGGGUGAAUUUAAUGGCCGUGCCCGUGGGUAAAAAACUGGUGGGGUGAGGGUACGGUUACAACUUUGUGCCCGUGGAUGUGAGUGCGGGUUUGUAGUUGAGCCCAACGGGUAAAAACUUAUGGACAUAGAAAAUUUGUACUCGUGUCCGCAAACCUGCUCCAACCUCGUGAUAUGUAGGUCUUUUCUUAUCCUAUAUAUAAAGGAAGCAACAUAGUUUUAUGAUUUCCUCACUCGUAUCUAUUUAUAUAUAAGAGAACCAUUUUUAUGUUGGAAUAAUGCUAGGUAGUUUUGAUUUUCAUACUUAAACUCCUUUCUAUAAUCUAUGCAUGCAUUAUUAAUUUAUUAUGGUUAGGGUACGCCCGCGGGUAUUUUGUGCCCGCGGGUACGAGCGUGGGUGUAGACUCACGGGUUGUCUACACCCACGGGUUGAAUUCCAAACUCGCUGGUUACGGUGCAGGUGCGAGUUUGGAAUUCAACUCGUGAGUGCGGGUUUAUAUAUCUUCCACCCACGGGUAAUGUGCCUAUUGCCAUCUAUACCGGAGGUGGUGCAGUUUAUCUAUACGUUGCAAAAAAAAUCCACUCGUCUGCCCUACGCCAAAGUGUCUAAGGCUAGUCUAUUCAUGAAGCUGUUGUACCGCUGUGUAUGAGUGGGGAGAGGUUCGGAGAUGUUUUUUGGCUUGUGUAAGAAGGUCUUCUUGUUAAACACAAUGCCCAAGAACUGUCUUAUCUCCAGAUGAGUUUUUUUUAAUCGCCAUCACGGGCCCACCAUAAUCAACGGUAAACCAUUCAGGUGAGGUCGCUCAACGUCACCCCUCCCCCCACUGCCAAACGGAAAAGAGGUAAAACUUGUCUGUCCAUAAAACAUCAAACCAUUCUCACUUUUUUUUUUGCCUGUGUAUGAGAAACGAUGGUUUGGACUCUGUUCCUUGCUUCUCUCGUGCACUAGCAAUCGUAUUUUUUUAGCUACUCCAUUUUAAGUGCGACAGGUUAUAAUGGGUACUUAAGUUGUUCUUCGUCCACAAUUUUUUUUAUUUUUAAACAUAUUUUUAUUUAUAUAAUUUAUGAAAAAUUGUUUCCAAAAUCAAAAUCCAGCCUACUAGUUGAACUAUCCUAUAAAGUGAUUCCAAUUCGCUUUCGAAACGCUUUUAGAGAGAAUCUAGGUUCGCAACGUUUCUAUACAAAUCUAGAUCUAAGGGUUAUAUUUCGUUUGAGUUUAUUAGCCGAAUUUAUCAGUCAGUGUUUUUCUCUCACAAUAAAUUAGCCAACAGUACUUUCUGUCAUGACUUAUCAGUCAAACGAAUAAUAAAAGUUUAAAACUUUUUCAAACAUAUUUUUAUUUAUAUUUGAAAAAAUGCAAUUUCCUAAUGAAUCGAUAUCCAAUCUACUACUUGUCAAACGAUUUUAUAAAAUGAUUCUAAUUCAUUAUCUGAACUAUCUUUUAAUUAAGAAUUGAAUCUAAAACUGAUUGGUUCUCAAAAAAAAAUCUAAAACUGAUUGCAUGAAUCUUUACCAACCACAUGUACGCUCCGCACAUGCACAUGGGCUGAGGCCCUGCGAGUACCGUACUGCCUGCGGGCACGAGUCUCAGACACUGCGGGCCGUUCGGAACUUCCGGCAGCUGAGUCUCAGACUCAGAGCCUCAGAGGCCGUCCCCUGCAGAUGGAGCUACCGCUACUGAUAGCUUCAGCAGAAAUGCAGAAUGCACAUUUUGAAGCGCCGCACGUAGGCUGGCUGGCUGGAUGUUUCAUGUUUGCUUGUGUCUUGUAUACUCCGUACACCUGGACAGAUAUUGUUCGCUUGGUUAGUCAUGAUAGAAAGUAGUCAGCAGAUUUGGCCGGCAGAUUUAGCUGAUAAACUCAAACGAACAGGCUGGGCUUGCUCCACUAUAACCUGACAAAACGUCGAAGCUGAAGUAUUUUUUUUAUUUACUUCUAGAUCAAGAACAAGAAGGCGAAUAAGCAUUACAGAAGAAGCAGCAUCAAUACAUCACGAAAACAACGACAGCACAGGAGAGGGGACACCGGACCCGAUCGGAAUACAGCCACUUGCUUUGCACCUAAACGGCCGGAGAACCGCCGCCGCCGGUCCGGAGGGGGCACACGUACCAGCCAAGCAGGCAAGGCAAGCACACACACGACCUCGUGUGAUCUACCUCUACGCACCGUACUUGUAGCUCCCAAUGUCCUCCGAGAUCAUCUCCAGGUCCCGGGAGGCGACGGCCAUGGACAUGGCCCGCCGGUGGCGCCCCGCCUGCCUCGCCGCCUGCAGCUCGGCCCCGUCCGCGGCCGCGGGCUUCCGCUGCUCGACGCCGCCGCCCUCGGCCACGGCCGCCGGCACGUCCUCCAGGGCGAAGUUCUCCGGCAGCACGAACACGCUCUGCGACGCCCGCCUUUGGUGCCUUCCUGGCCUCUGCGACAUCUUUGCAGCCUCUAGCUGGCAAUAAGCACCUCACGCGGUUGGUUUCACUACGCAGAGGAGCGCUUUGAACUACCUGCUUGUGUUGUGAGCAGAGGAAGAAGAAAUGGUGGUUAUAUAUAGCCUGCCCACCGCAUGGCGGCGAAGGGACUUUUUUUUUUUGGCUUUGUCAUGAACAGUCCAGCAUCUCGUGGUACGAAACUAGUACAGUAACUUGUACGUAUGCAUAUUCGGAUCCGACAGUCUGACAGUUUCUGCUUCCCAAGGGCGCUGACUUGUGAAAAAAAAUGCAUGUGCAGUCGUGCAGACGUGCGUCUGCAUGGCCCUGCCUCGUUUCGUCAGGGAUGGAUCGGGCUCGACGGCUCAUCCUCAUCGUGAAUUGGUGCUCAUUUGGCGCCUCACCACGAUCUACAUCAGCGUGUGAUUCCUGCAGCUAGCCCUGCCCUACUGGGAUCAACUUGGUCUGCAAACUACGAUCAACUUGGCAAGCACUGUCUGCUCACUUGCCUGGCGAGUGUAGUGUGUAUGAAUUCCUGCGCAUUUUUUGGUACGCAGGCGAUGUCUCCACGAAGCUUCCUGCUAGGUAAACAAAUGGUAUUCGUGAAUCGUAUGAUGUACCGGAAUCUUAGGACCGACCUCGCCAAUUUUAUUGGGUUUGCACUGAUGAUGUGAUCUGUUCUGGCGUUGUAACUGAGACCCACGUGCACACCGAAAGAAGGAAUCCCCGCGCCAACGAAAUCAAUCACAGAGUAGUGGUCACCGAGUAAGAAAAGAGAUGCGAGUACGGUAUCGAGCUCCUCCUGUCUAACGGUCUCUUAAUUAUUGGAAGUUUUCUGAAAACAUUUGCGAAUCAAUAGUUUGUUUCAGUACUAGCAAAUCGACACUGCUUGUGAUUAAUUCAAUAUGCAUAAUAUCCACGAAACAUUUCCCCCGGUUUACACAGACACAUGCAUCUAAUCUAAUCUCUUCUACUUUUUCACGAUAAUUCUUAAAUGAAGCAUCCAAUUUAGAAAUGGUUUUCACUAUUGAACUCCUAAUAUUUUUUUUACACGAUUCAAGAUCCAUUGUGAGUAUAUUUUUGAAAGAAAAUUAUAAAUUUGAAUUUUGAAUCAUGACACAUGAUGAUCGAUUGGAUGCAUAGAAACAAUAGUCGAGAUGUGUAGAAAAAUUUGACGCCAAUGUUAGUAAUUAGACGAAUAAAAGUUAUUAUGUUGCCGCGUAAAAGAGUCUCCGAACGAGGCCUUUUAGUCUUAUCACAAUGGAAUCUCUCUCUUUUUAAAUCUUAUUACUUAUUUUCUUGGUGCUGCAACCUGAUCGAGCUGGACGCUCAUGCAGCCAGAAAAGAAACAAGAAGGGCAGCGACUAUAACUAAAGAGGGAACCCGUGCAUGUUAGUAGAUUCCAAAUUCCUGGCCAUCGUGUCUAGCCUCACAUGGGCUGCCCACAUGGCUCGAUCGACCGGGCCAUCAUCAUAAGCCCACGCACGCUCGUACAAAUUAUUGGUGUCCAUCCGCUCGUGUGCAUCGCCAAAAUUUGGCUGUCAAAGUCGGGAAAACAAACCAAAUACAAAAGAAAGAAAAAACUGUGAGGACAAAUGAAGUUCCGAAUGGACGGUAAAAACCUUGCAGCAAUGUUUAUUAGAUAGAAGGGAACAAACAAAAAGGUUAGGUGAUGCCUAGAUUUUCUCGAGAUAAACCAGGUCUAAGAGCAAUUCCAAGAAAUUUUUUAUAAAUAUCCUCUUGUAUUGGUAGAUAUAGAGAUCUUGGUGAAAAAAUUCGUCCGAACAACUUCUUCAACUAUGUUUCCGAAUAUAUUCUCAUUUUCUUUUCAUGGUUUCUCGUUCGUCAAAAAAACAAAGUUGGCCCUCCAGAUUACCGAAUAAGAUAUAGAUAAGUUGUUAAAGUGUUAAGACAUGCAAAUAAUAAUUUUAUUAGAAAUUUAAAAUGACUUUCCAAAUGAGAAUUUAGAAAGUAGGUUUAAAAAAUAGAUGGAGAUGCUCUAAAAACUUUAUAGAAGUGCACCACCCUUUCCCUUUGACAACUUUGGUAUAACGAUCGAAAUAACUAACAACUAGACUUGUGUGACAACGACUUCAUCCAAUCACAAUGACUGCCUAAAGGAUUACGUAUACUGCAUAGGGGAACAUGGGGAAGGGGAGCUAGCCAAUGAAUGACAGACACUGCUUUGGACUAUUUGAAUGUAGCUAAGACCAGUAAAUGUAUGUAUAAAUAUUAAAAAAUUUCAUCAUUGGGUAUAAAGUAUAAACAUAUCAAGCGUUUAAAGCUCUAACAUCCAUAUUAGCUAUAAGUUUCUAGAGAUAAUUCCUUGUGAGCCACUAUAAAAGAUCACAAUUCCUUAUGAGCCAUUGAAAAAAUUCAACGGACUUCAGCGCCACUACUCUAAAUUUUUUUUGCCCUUCAGGCCUCUGUCGUUAGAUUAAGCUCUAACUGUGUCAAACCGUGGGUACGAAGAGUCAAAAAUACCCUUAGGUGUAAAUAUGCUGUUAAUUUUUUUGAGCAUCUUAAUGAUUUUAAAUAGAAAAAAUCAAAACUAAAAAGUUGUAGAUCUCCUCGGGAUCUACAAUUUUCAUAUAAAAAUUAUUUUCAUUCAACAUCGCAAAAAAGAUAUGCUUUUUCUAAGAUAUAUAUUAACCAUAUCAAAACAUAUCUUUUUCGUGAAAUUAAAUGAAAAUAAUUUUUAUACGAAAAUUGUAGAUCUCAACGAGAUAUACAACUUUCUAGUUUUGAGUUUUUUUUUUCAUUUGAAGUCGUUAAGAUGCUCAAAAAAAUAAAAGCAUAUUUACACCUAAGGGUAUUUUUGACUUUUUACACCCGCGGUUUGACACCAAUAGAGCCUAAUCUAACAGCAGUGGCCUGAAGGGCAAAAAAACUUUAGAGUAGUGGCGCUGAAAUCCGUUGAACUUUUUUCAGUGGCUCAUAAGGAACCAUGAUUUUUUAUAGUGGCUCACAAGGAAUUCUCUCAAGUUUCUAAGCAGGGACGAAUCUAGGAAAAUAUUUAGGGGGGCUUAUUCUACCUUGAGACAAUUUCAGCCCCUUCUUAAAGUACAUCAAUGACGAAAAAUUUAUAGGAGGGGCUAAGGGGGGCUCCAUGGAUUUUGUGGCCGUGGGAGGGGCUGGAGCCCUGGCAGCCCCACCGCUGGCUCUGUCACUGUUCCUAGGGUUAUAAUAUAGGACUAAUUAGGUUUAGAACACAUAUUACGUACAUAGUAUAUGGCAAAAAAAAUCAUAUGUUUGGGGGCACGGGGAGGUGGCAUGCCCCCUACUAGCCGCCUACCUAUGCCAGUGCCAAGAACUCUGCACAACAUUGCUCAAAAAACUAUGACAACAUACUGGGGACCACCACUAAAGCCAAAACUCCACUAAGGAGAAUGAGUUAGACCAUGUACCUGGCCUAAAGAUGUAACAUAUCAUAGCUACAAGCCUAUGAUGAAAUUCUCACUAAAAGGAUCACCCACUCUAGUACCAAUCCAUUAGGAUCCCAAUUGGUUGGAGUAUGGGAAGAUACAUCGAUGACUACAAGGGGAAGAGUUGAAACAACAUCGGGAGGUCUGCUGGCGCCUGUUAGAAAGUUGAGUGGCAGUUGUACCAAAUACAACCAUAGCGAAGUAUUACAAACAUGAGAUCUCAACUAAAACUUGGACUUAACUAUAUGCAACAAAACGUAAACAAUCAAACGUGGUUUCACGUGUGCAGAAUAACCAAACACCAACACGCUACAUGAGCUUACAUGGGCCUAGGUUAUGCUGCGUAAGGUCUAAUGUGAGCAAUCAAUUAGACCUUAAGAGGUCUAAUGUAAGCAACAAAUGAUCCUGACACUAGCAUAUAGACCAAGCAUUUUGGCCAACAAGUUUCUUAUAAUGAGUAAAAUGGGAUUUUUUUACUAAAAAAGGGAUCCGACAAUAUGGUUGAAAAACACUAGUUUUUUUCUUUUGUGUUUUUUGAUCCUAUAAUGAGUUCCUUUUGACUCGUUUUCUUUAAGAAUGCAUAAAACGGUCGGGUAAAAAAAGCAGAAACCGUGUCCAUCGGAUUGCAAAUGUCUUUGGCCUUGUUUAGUUCACUCCAGAAUUCAAAAUUAUUUUAAGAUUCUCCAGCACAUCGAAUUUUACGGCAUAUGUAUGGAGCACUAAAUAUAGAUUAAAAAAUAACUAAUUGCACAAUUAAAUUGGAAAAUCGUGAGAGGAAUCUUUUGAACCUAGUUAGUUUAUAGUUGGACAAUAAUUGUUAAAUACAAAUAAAAGUGCUACAGUAUCGAAAUCUAAAUUCUUUUCGUAUCUAAUUAAACGAGGCCUUUGUCGGUUUUCAUUCCUAACCCCACCAUAGCAGAUCUAGUUUGACGUUAUUUACCAGCGUUUGCCAUUGAGAUAAAUUCUGCAACUAUCCCUUUCCCUCCACAAUUUGGUGAGAACAGUCUGCACGGAAACACGGUGUAGAUAUAUGACUGACGUGUGGUCUAUGACUAUGACUCUAUGAGGUACUCCUAUGUCAUUUACCAUGCGUAUGUUUAAAAUGAUACCGUGGCCCAUCUAUCGGCUGCUCAUUCCGCAUGAAGUUCUGCUAAAUAGGGAUGGUCCUCACUCCUCACCAAUCUUCUUUCCCCAUAUUGUACCCCACACCCAUCGCCGACUGCCGAGUUCUCCCGAUCCGCCGGCUUGCACCCGUCGUACCUCCUUGCGUUUACGGUUGGGGGGCCUGGGGCGCUGCCCGCCCGGACACCCAGCGCCGCGGGCCUAGCCGGCAGCCGCCUCGCCCCGCUCUGCCCGGGGAAUCGGCACACGCCAGCCGCGAGGUGAGCCCGGUCGCGCGGCCAGGAUGCGGAACCUCGCACCCGCCUGCACCGUCCGUUCGUGUCCAAUCCAGGCGCCGCCGUCCUCGUGAACCGUCAAGCUGGUGGCCGGCGUCUGCGCGUUCUGGUCUUCUCCAAAGCCCUCGGUCCCGCCAUCGCGCGUCCCCUUCUGUUCCAAGCGCCACCGCCCACCGGUGGUGGAUUCGCCGCUGCUGCAGGUUGUGUAUAUGGCUUGUCAAUAUCAUCACGAGAGGAGGGAACGUCAGAACGUGGUUCGUUGAAGAGUGAUAAUGGGUGUCACAUACUCACAUGUUGUGAGGGAAACACAUAGGCCGGUUUGGCUACUGAACCCACUGUGUUCCAUGGAAGAUCAUACUGUAUAUAUAUAGCUGCCUCUGCCUGUUAUGUUGCUGUUUGUUGUCAAUACUCAAUAAUGCAUAUGUGUCUACUAUGAUCAGGGAAUAUCGAUUACAAUACACUCUAUUUGCGUGGAACAUAUACACAAAUUAAUAUACCCAAUUAAUUAAAUGAGCCUUCACAAAGAGGCCGGGAAGAUCUGAAAAGGCAACAUGACUUGUCGCUACAGACAUGUACAAUAGCCUGCACGGUUGCACCCAAAGGGCCCAAGGUACACUUCACUAAUAAUUCUCAUUAUUGCUGUUGUAAUGAAGAUAAUGGAUACAUGAUAUUGCAUCUCUACUAUGACUCAUCAAAGAGAUGGUCUGGAUAUACACGCACUCCAUUACCAUCUUCCCACGGAAGAUGAAGAUCUGCCAAAGAUGUAUAGUUGCCCUACAUGGCCGAACGCCAGCUGCCCUGCCCUAUCAACAGGGCACCAGCACCACAGUCAGCGCCCGUUGUAGUACUCGCCGUCGCCGGUGUUGCCGCGAAGUAUUCGCCGUCUCCGGUGAAGCCGAGAGUGGGAACGCUGCACGGGCUACAUGGCAGCUGCGUCAGGCCAAUGUUGGGGGUAGAAACUAGAGAGGGACACCCGGCCAGGGGAGGACGGGUCCUCCAUGGAAGAUGUUGGAUGAGGAUGCAUAUAUAGAGAGCUCGAGGCUUCUUCCGGCGAGUGGAAGCUUAGGUGGUGGACUGUACUUUUCACAGGCCAAAAUGUGGUAUCUUCCUUGGCAUAUUCUUGAGCACAUGGAAACUCCUCCACUUUUCCUGUUCCAUGCUUUGCUUCGCUUUGGAGUAUUCAAAAGGAUAUUCCAUGCCUUCGUGUGCCUUUCUCUAGAUGUAGAGGUAGAAUUGGACGUGGCUUGACGAAGCAUGGGGCUGGAAAGCAGCUGUUUUAGCUGUGACCACGUGGAAGAGUCUUGCGUUGCAUGUAUAUACCAGCUUUAUUCGUCUAGCAGCGUAGCGGCAGGUAAUAUGGUCUGUCCCUAACGCCCGUUUGCUCGUUACGCCGUGAGGUCGUCAGUACUGAGUACCAACGUCGUCACUCAAAAAAGGAAUAAUAUAUUUUUUCGAACAGGUUAGGUUAUUGAUUGUAGAGAAAAAAACCGGCACUACUAGCGCCCGGACGUCCGGAUCUAAAGUCCCGUCCGGACGCACCUCAUCCGCCCUUCACAUGGAACACCCCCCUCCCCCCGCACGGGAACGCUUUUCCCACGGAACGCCCACCUCACAGGGCGCUACUAGUGGGAUGGGAGAGAGGCGCGGGAUAGAGCCGAGCGAGUUAAGAGGCAGGCGCGAAGCAGUGAGUUGCAUCAGCGAAUAAGGGGGGCGCAUGUCCAUCCGCCAUCCCACCCCGCCACCUUGUCACGCUGUCAUUCCGUUGUGUUGUCCAAUCCCCCGCCGUGCCCUGCUAGGUGCCUCAUAUCCUGACCAUGGAACAAACUUUACUGUAAAAUCACAAGAAAACUAUUGCAAUAACAGAGCAAAGGCUACUGCAACACGAUAUGUAAGAAGAGAAAAAAAAGAAACUAAUGCAACAAAGAAACAUUGAUUGUUGCAACACCAUAACAAAGACUACUGCAACAAAAACUGAACAAAAAAGCAAAUGCAAAAAGAGAACAACAUAAAAAAAGAUUAAUGCAACAAAGAAAAGUUACUUGUUGCAACAAUAAAAAAAUGAUACUGCAACAACAUAAACAAAAGGGCAAAUUCAAGAUGCGACGUCAGAUAAAAAAAAGAGUAAUGAAACAAAGAAAAUUACUUGUUGCAAUAGCAAAACAACACUACUGCAACAUCAAAAACAAAAAAUGCAAUCUGAGAUGCAACGUCAGAGAAAAUACUAAUGUAACAAAGAAAUGUUGCUUGUUGAAAUAACAAACUAAGUCUACUGCAACAGAGCUCACCGAAACUCUAGCCAUCGCGACAUCUCUCAGAUCCAGAUCUAGAAGAGAAGCAGGAGAAGGAGGAUGAGAAGGAGGAGCAGAAGGAGAACUUAGAUCUAGAGGAGAGGUGGAUGAGAGGAAGGAGGAUGUCUCAGAUCUAGACCUACCUCGCCCGGAACUGCCACCACCGCUCUCUUCUCCAGUUGCAUGGAGGUUGUAGAGCAAGGGAAGAAGGCUGGGAGGGAGAGAGGGAGGGGUGGCUCACUAGAAAUCGCCACCAUCGCCUCCCUAUCCAGUAGCAUGGAGGUCACAGAGAGAGGAAGAGAGAAAGGAAGGGAGUACGAACAGACGAGGUGACGGUAAGCUAGAUGUGAGCGUGGUAGCCGUCCCAGAGAGCAGCAGCGCGCGAGAGCAAUAGCAAGCACAGCAGCGAGCGGCGCAGUGCAGAGGAGUGGAGAGAGGGAGCGGGCGAGGCAACGGACAGAGAAGAGACCAGGUGCGGAGGCUUGUGAGGACGGGACGCAUCUCACGAGGACGGGACGGUCGGAUGGGGCGCAUUGCAAGUUGAGUCUGUCCGGAUGGACGGACGUUCUAGAAGUAGCUUUAUCGAGAAAAAAAACAUAAGCUUGUAUUGCAGCCGCGUGAUGGUGGGGUUAAUGAGCGUUGACGAUGUGAGUUUGUGUGAAGUCGACAUGCACCAAGGUUAGGUAAUUAUUCUUUUUUUGGUGGGAUUUUAUUACCCCAAAUACACCGUCACACUAUGGUAGCUCGAGGCUCGAGCAACACUGCGAGUCUGCAACUUGCAAGUCGACCGACCGAGACCUAUCAUCGAUCAAAUCAAAGUGGCUGCCCAGCCCAUGAUCGAUCAGGAGCAAACACGAUCCACCAAGAAACCCCAUACAAAAAGCCCAACCCCACCAACUGUUCCCACGAUUCCCUCCGAACAGAUCCACACCCGCUGUGUUUGUGAAUCGAUUGUUCGGUUCCCGUUCCCACGAUUUUUUCCCUUCGAUUGUCCGUAUCGGCAGGUAAAAUUCUGGCGCUUCCGCCCGAUGCUUCUUCGAUUGCCGAAACGGCUUCGUUACUCUCUGCCUGUUUUUCGCCUGCGUGUCGCUGGGAUCUGUGGAA
rnacentral:lncRNA from 1 species